rnacentral:lncRNA from 1 species
CUACCGGGAAUUGCACUAAUAUUCUGAAACCCAAGGUAAAGAUAUUAGUGAGGUUUUUUACUUUUUAACUGAAACAGAAUGUAUCUUUUUAAUUUAGGAAGCACCUUAUGAAUUGGAAACAACUUUUUUCUAAAAUGAUUAUAAUGGAACAUAAAAAUGUUCUCCCAGUGAUGCAUCCUUUGAUUGAAACCGCCAUGUAACUAACUACCGGGGUAUUAUAAGAUUCACUUAAUUCAAACAUAUAUUCAUUUAAUGCACUUUGCAAGUAUUCUUCUGGAAUAGCAUAUGACAAGAAACUGUAUUUGCCCACAUUUCCUUGGGGACAUACACCCAGGGGUACUAACUGAUGGCUAAAAAAGUGGCAUGCAAUUUUGAGAGAGAUUGUUGUUUCUCCAUGUAGACAAGGAGAGAUAUUUGUAGAAGUGAUGCAGCAUUUUACCAGAUUUAUCACUGAACAAUUUAGUCUAGCUGACUUGAUUUAUCUUUCUGUUGAAUUUAACUAGUGGAAUAACUUAUCAGUAUUGGACAGUUGUGUAAAAGUAGUGAAUUACUCAUUAGCUUGCUGGUAAGGAUGGUGCUGUGACAGUUCAAUUAAGGUUUCAUUAACAACUGUCUGCUGUAUUUUAUCUCAAAGUAAGAGUUCCAGUUUACCUGGUAAUGUGAUUGUGGGAUAACCUGAGAUAACAUUUGUUGCCACUGAUAGAAUGUUGUUUAUGGGUUAUCAAGAUAUCAUAUACAAUUUGACCUUCUUUUUGAGACAUUACAGCCUCCAAACACCCACAUGGACAUUUUCAUAAUGCAAAAACAAAACACAAAGCAACCCACAAAUAGUAACUUCAGUCAUUUGGUGAGUAAUAUAAAUCUACCUUUUUGUCUGCAGUUCACAUUUGCCAGAGGAAAAUGCUGUGGUUAAAGAUGUAACAACUUUGGGACAAAGAGUUUCAGGGGCUCAUAAUUUUGAGAGAUGGAGGAAGUUGACCGCAUGAGAGUGGUUUGAGGAUCGCUGUGCCUAGACCGUUUUUGACAUUGGCAACUUAACAUAUCAGAGAUGGAAUUAAUGGCACAUAUUGCCACCUUGGUAAAAGUUGAGAAUCUGUAGUACUGAGAAGUUUCUCCACUAUCAGCCGAGAUUAACAGCCACAGCUGGAUUCUUUGGGGGCUCUGCUUUGUGAAAAGAGCUUUGAAGAAGCAGAGCCUGCACCAUAAAAAGGAAACGGUUGCUCUUCUAGACAUAACAAAGCAUCCGUAUGAAACUAGAAAUGUGGAAAUCUGUAUUGUUAAUUUUAACUACAAACGAACUUACUUUUGGAAAUUACAGGUUCAUGAUCAUAAAGUAGAUAAAGAGUAGAGAAUAAAAGUAACAAUCUGAUGAUUCUGCACCCACUUCUUGGUGGUUGAAACUCCAUAGCCUAUAACGUUGCAAGUCAUUUUGUACUUAGACUCCUGAAAAGAUUAUCCAAAUUAUGUUCAAAAAACCACAGCACAAAAAAUAAACUUGUUUUAUUCUUGGGGAGAAAUUUCAUGUUAUACUGUCCAAUAUUAAUUUAGAAAAAAAGACAGUUUUUUUUUUUAAGGCAUUUCAGAAACAUUGCCCUUUCAAGCAAGUUAGAACAAUAUCCCUCAACAUUAAAUACCAUCUUUUUAGCCAUCAGUACCACUGGGCAUGUGUCAUAAAAGAGAAAUGGGGGCAGAUAUAGCUCCCUUUCAUAUGCUAUACCAGAACAAAAAUUUGUAAAAUGCAUAAGUGCAUUAACUGAAUAUGUUUGAAUUUAAAUUCUGGGUUUUUACCUUCAAAGCACAGGCAGCUGUAGAUACAAAAAGUCCUCUAAUGGAGUACUGGAAUGUUUCAUUGUCUUCACAACUUGGAGUGUCAGAGUUUUCUCUGCCUUCUAUAUUGUAAAACUGAGUGACUAUUCUUGGUCGUUUUUAUUAGAUUUAUUGAUGUCCAAGCAAUACAAGAAUUAACUGUUCAUAUACUGUAUGUUUCCUUAACAUGCUUAUUUGGUUUCUUUGAUGGAGAUUGUCAAGGCCAAAGAAACUUUUUCAUUUGUCAUCCAACCAAUAAAUGGACAGAAGCUGUUAGAAGCUCUUUAA